CCUACGGGUGGCUGCAGUGGGGAAUAUUGGACAAUGGGGGCAACCCUGAUCCAGCCAUGCCGCGUGUGUGAAGAAGGCCCUCGGGUUGUAAAGCACUUUCAGUGAGGAAGAACGCCUGGUGGUUAAUACCCAUCAGGAAAGACAUCACUCACAGAAGAAGCACCGGCUAACUCCGUGCCAGCAGCCGCGGUAAUACGGAGGGUGCGUGCGUUAAUCGGAAUUACUGGGCGUAAAGCGCGCGUAGGUGGCUUGAUAAGCCGGUUGUGAAAGCCCCGGGCUCAACCUGGGAACGGCAUCCGGAACUGUCAAGCUAGAGUGCAGGAGAGGAAGGUAGAAUUCCCGGUGUAGCGGUGAAAUGCGUAGAGAUCGGGAGGAAUACCAGUGGCGAAGGCGGCCUUCUGGACUGACACUGACACUGAGGUGCGAAAGCGUGGGUAGCAAACAGGAUUAGAUACCCGAGUAGUC
rnacentral:rRNA from 1 species